GAUGAAGAACGCAGCGAAAUGCGAUAAGUAAUGUGAAUUGCAGAAUUCAGUGAAUCAUCGAAUCUUUGAACGCACAUUGCGCCCGCCAGUAUUCUGGCGGGCAUGCCUGUUCGAGCGUCAUUACAACCCUCAGGCCCCCGGGCCUGGCGUUGGGGAUCGGCGGAAAGCCCCCUGUGGGCAUACGCCGUCCCCUAAAUACAGUGGCGGUCCCGCCGCAGCUUCCAUUGCGUAGUAGCUAACACCUCGCAACUGGAGAGCGGCGCGGCCAAGCCGUAAAACACCCCACUUCUGAAUGUUGACCUCGAAUCAGGUAGGAAUACCCGCUGAACUUAAGCAUAUCAAUAAGCGGAGGA
rnacentral:misc_RNA from 1 species